rnacentral:rRNA from 1 species
AUUGAACGCUGGCGGCAGGCCUAACACCUGCAAGUCGAGCGAGCGGCGGACGGGUGAGUAAUGUAUGGGAAAAUGCCCAGUAGCGGGGGAUAACUCCUCGAAAGAGUGGCUAAUAACGCCUACUAUUGGAGGGGCCGAUAUCGGAUGAGCUAGUUGGUGGGGUAAAGGCCCACCAAGGCAACGAUCCGUAGCUGGUUUGAGAGGACGACCAGCCACACUGGGACUGAGACACGGCCCAGACUCCUACGGGAGGCAGCAGGGGGGAAUUUUGGACAAUGGGGGAAACCCUGAUCCAGCCAUCCCGCGUGUAUGAGAAGGCCUUCGGGUUGUAAAGUACUUUUCGCAGAGAAGCGGUAUCUGCAGAAUAAGCACCGGCUAACUACGUGCCAGCAGCCGCGGUAAUUC